AAUAUUUGUCUUUCAACCCACGUCAGGUUGAUGAAUUUUAAAUGACGGCUGUAUAAUAUGGUUUAAUCAUUAUUUGAAAAUUUAUUUAAGAAACUUUUUGGAGUUAGAAGAGGAUAGGAAUAUUUCGAAGGAAAACAAUGGACUUUUGAUAUCUGUGAACGGUGUUAUUUAUGAGAAGAAAGCUUAGCAGAAUAAAUUGUUGGUGUUUGUAAACAACGUCAUCGUUUUUGGUUGAUUCUGUUGUAUAUUUGUUCUGCCUGUGGAAUUAUAAUGCAAAUAAAGGACACGUGUACUUUACUGUUGACAUUCAUCGUAGUUCUUGUCUGUCAAGUAUCUUCAAAAGAUCUGUUUUCAUCCGAUCAGGGAGAAGAUAGUGGUAGAAUAGAUGAUCUUGAUAUUAUAGCAGACGGGAGAUCUAAACGGACUAAUUACAGGACUUUAAAUGACAUUCAAAGUCAAAAUUCACUUCUGUCGAUACCGUAUAAAGCUCGUACUUCACUUUUCCCAAGGCAGCUACGACAAAGUCCUUAUUUUGCCCUGCGUGGUAAAAGAAUUCCAAAAGGUGAAUACAUUAAUUCUGGUGAUAGCGAUCUUUUCAACGAAGAAAGCAUUGGGGAUAUCCCUUCAAGUUCCCUGCAGUCCCGAGACAAAAGGAUGAUUUCUCUACUUACUUUACCAGAUCCACGAUAUGAAUCACUGAUAAGAAGAGUAAUAGGCCAAUCAAUGAAGAUGUCCAAUGCUAAAGCUAGAGAUUUGAUGAUGGAUAAGAGACAACACUACCGAUUCCAUGCACUCCGAGGAUGAUAUAGAAAAGACAUGAUUCAGGAUAGUGAUCAAACAUACCUGAAUUAAUACAAUUCUAAAUUAACAUGCUUGUUACAUUUUUACCCAUUUUAGCUAAAAUAACAUGUCUACGAUAAUAAAUUACAUCUAAUCCCUUAUCCCUUAACAUUCCUGAUUUACUAGCUCAUACAAAUAACGCAAAUAAGCAUUUAAGAGUGAUUUGGCUCCUAAAAUUCUAAUGUCUGACAUCUGGUCUGGCAAAUGAAAAAAAUUGCAUAAAAGAUUUGAAGAUCACAAUUGAAAUAUAAAUGUAUGACUUUUGAUAAUACUUGUCUGACCAAGUCAAAAUUUGCCUGAAACGUAAGCCGGUCUUGCAUAUUUCGGGACUUCUAAAUGCCACUAGUCUUGAUUUCCGGAAAAAAAUAUUUGAACUUUUUCAACUUUACAGUACAAUCUAAAAACAGGUGUUUAGAGUCUUAAGACAACCCUUAGCAUAUGUAUAUAUAUAAUUCAUCUCCUGUAAAUAUCUUCAAUUUGUCUAGCUGUUACUGUCUAAAUUACUGUCUAGCUCUAGUUAGAUGCUUUUAAAAUAUAUUUCAGGAGCUAACACUUGUUUACAGAAGGCAAUACCUUAUUUAUAUUUAUGUUAGCGAAGUAAGUCUUUUAUCAAUGUUCUAACACUUAUUUCAUUUCCAUCACUACAAAUAAAAUUUAUUGAAUUAACUUGCA